rnacentral:rRNA from 1 species
CGGGUGGUAAUGCCGGAUGUUCCACAUGAUCGCAUGUGAUUGUGGGAAAGAUUCUAUCGGCGUGGGAUGGGGUCGCGUCCUAUCAGCUUGUUGGUGAGGUAACGGCUCACCAAGGCUUCGACGGGUAGCCGGCCUGAGAGGGCGACCGGCCACAUUGGGACUGAGAUACGGCCCAGACUCCUACGGGAGGCAGCAGUGGGGAAUAUUGCACAAUGGGCGCAAGCCUGAUGCAGCGACGCCGCGUGAGGGAUGGAGGCCUUCGGGUUGUAAACCUCUUUUGUUUGGGAGCAAGCCUUCGGGUGAGUGUACCUUUCGAAUAAGCGCCGGCUAACUACGUGCCAGCAGCCGCGGUAAUACGUAGGGCGCAAGCGUUAUCCGGAUUUAUUGGGCGUAAAGGGCUCGUAGGCGGCUCGUCGCGUCCGGUGUGAAAGUCCAUCGCUUAACGGUGGAUCUGCGCCGGGUACGGGCGGGCUGGAGUGCGGUAGGGGAGACUGGAAUUCCCGGUGUAACGGUGGAAUGUGUAGAUAUCGAAAAA